CCUACGGGAGGCUGCAGUGGGGAAUAUUGGACAAUGGGGGCAACCCUGAUCCAGCCAUGCCGCGUGUGUGAAGAAGGCCCUCGGGUUGUAAAGCACUUUCAGUGAGGAAGAACGCCUGGUGGUUAAUACCCAUCAGGAAAGACAUCACUCACAGAAGAAGCACCGGCUAACUCCGUGCCAGCAGCCGCGGUAAUACGGAGGGUGCGAGCGUUAAUCGGAAUUACUGGGCGUAAAGCGCGCGUAGGUGGCUUGAUAAGCCGGUUGUGAAAGCCCCGGGCUCAACCUGGGAACGGCAUCCGGAACUGUCAAGCUCGAGUGCAGGAGAGGAAGGUAGAAUUCCCGGUGUAGCGGUGAAAUGCGUAGAGAUCGGGAGGAAUACCAGUGGCGAAGGCGGCCUUCUGGACUGACACUGACACUGAGGUGCGAAAGCGUGGGUAGCAAACAGGAUUAGAUACACUUGUAGUC
rnacentral:rRNA from 1 species